ACGAACGCUGGCGGCGUGCUUAACACAUGCAAGUCGAGCGGUAAGGCCCUUUCGGGUAGUACACGAGCGGCGAACGGGUGAGUAACACGUGGGUGACCUGCCCUCAGCUCUGGGAUAAGCCUGGGAAACCGGGUCUAAUACCGGAUAUGACUCCAUGACGCAUGUUGUGGGGUGGAAAGCCUUGUGCGGCUGAGGAUGGGCCCGCGGCCUAUCAGCUUGUUGGGGGGUGAGU
rnacentral:rRNA from 1 species